UGGCUCAGGAUGAACGCUAGCGGGAGGCCUAACACAUNAAGCCGAGCGGUAGAUUGCUUUCGGGCAAUUGAGAGCGGCGCACGGGUGCGGAACACGUGUGCAACCUGCCUUUAUCUGGGGGAUAGCCUUUCGAAAGGAAGAUUAAUACCCCAUAAUAUGUUGAAUGGCAUCAUUCGACAUUGAAAGCUCCGGCGGAUAGAGAUGGGCACGCGCAAGAUUAGAUAGUUGGUGAGGUAACGGCUCACCAAGUCAAUGAUCUUUAGGGGGCCUGAGAGGGUGAUCCCCCACACUGGUACUGAGACACGGACCAGACUCCUACGGGAGGCAGCAGUGAGGAAUAUUGGACAAUGGGUGAGAGCCUGAUCCAGCCAUCCCGCGUGAAGGACGACGGCCCUAUGGGUUGUAAACUUCUUUUGUACAGGGAUAAACCUUUCCACGUGUGGGAAGCUGAAGGUACUGUACGAAUAAGCACCGGCUAACUCCGUGCCAGCAGCCGCGGUAAUACGGAGGGUGCAAGCGUUAUCCGGAUUUAUUGGGUUUAAAGGGUCCGUAGGCGGAUCUGUAAGUCAGUGGUGAAAUCUCACAGCUUAACUGUGAAACUGCCAUUGAUACUGCAGGUCUUGAGUAAAUUUGAAGUGGCUGGAAUAAGUAGUGUAGCGGUGAAAUGCAUAGAUAUUACUUAGAACACCAAUUGCGAAGGCAGGUCACUAAGAUUUAACUGACGCUGAGGGACGAAAGCGUGGGAAGGNAGCNACC
rnacentral:rRNA from 1 species